GGGACAUGCUGAUCCAGGCCCAACGCACAAGUUGAAUGGUGGGAAGUGAGAGAACUCACCCAUUCUCUCAUUCUCUUGCCUCUAGGUUGGACCAAGAACACUGAAACUCUAGAAGUUCAAAACCCAAAUUAAACCCCUAACCAUGAGCGAAUUCAAGCCAUUACCAGAGGGAUUCUUAUCAAAAUAGCAAGAAAAAUGACAUAAUUGAGCGUUGGUGAGGGUGAGGAAGAAAUUUAACAGAGUAACAUUGCAAUGAAAUGAAUUCCCUUGAUGAGUGAAGAGGAUAGCGUUUAAAUAAGAGUGAUUUUGAUGAAUGAAUUUGAACCCUUGGAUGAGGAUUCGUGUGAGAGGCUUAAGAAUGGUUGAGGUUUAAUCUCAAUUCAGUUAGGAUUUAUGUUAGUUCAUAGUGUAAAAUCAGUAUGAUUUUGUGUUAGUUGAAAUGGAAUUUGAACUGAAUUUGUUGUGAAUUUCACUCGGUUUUGUGUUAGUAUGUAUGUGGCAUGUGUUAAUUUUGUGUAAUUCAGUUUUGGUUUGUGUUUGUUUAGCUUGGAGUUUAACUGAAUUAGUUGAUAGAUAGAGGUUAGGUUAAUUGGUUAAAGUGGAUUGAAUUUGUUAUGAAUUUGUUACUGUGUGAUUUUAUGAUGAUGUAAUGUUGCUGUUUUUUUUCAUUUGAAUUUCUAUGGCAAUGGUUAGUAUGUAUGUGGCAUGUGGUUAUGGGGUGAUGAAUGUCAAUUUGCUAGCUGUUUCCCUCUUUUUGAUUCUCAUAUGGUGAUGAUGCUGAGCAUGGAGCAUAUGGAGAGAAAGCAAAGAGGAUGAAGGCAACUAAAAGGAUGAUGAUGGUUGGUUUGGUGAAAAGAAAAAUUAUGUGUCCUGAACAUUUCUAUGUAUUGAAAAUUUUACUUAAUAAAACUGUUUUAUUCUAUUUUAUUUAUCUCAA
rnacentral:lncRNA from 1 species